rnacentral:rRNA from 1 species
AUUGAACGCUGGCGGCAGGCCUAACACAUGCAAGUCGAGCGAGCGGCGGACGGGGGAGAAAUGUCUGGGAAACUGCCUGAUGGAGAGGGAUAACUACUGGAAACGGUAGCUAAUACCGCAUACGCUCAGAUGUGCGCAGAUGGGAUUAGCUGGUAGGUGGGGUAACGGCUCACCUAGGCGACGAUCCCUAGCUGGGCUGAGAGGAUGACCAGCCACACUGGAACUGAGACACGGUCCAGACUCCUACGGGAGGCAGCAGUGGGGAAUAUUGCACAAUGGGCGCAAGCCUGAUGCAGCCAUGCCGCGUGUGUGAAGAAGGCCUUCGGGUUGUAAAGCACUUUCAGCGGGGAGGCGUUACCCGCAGAAGAAGCACCGGCUAACUCCGUGCCAGCAGCCGCGGUAAUAC